UUGAUACGCUUACUAAGUACUAUAUUACAUCAGUACCAAAACACUUGGUUGAGGUUAUUAAACUAAUUGGUAAAGAUUUUAGCAGUCGAACAGUUCCCAUGAGGCACAAAUAAAAGUUUGCAAAAAUAUUAUUGCAUGUGGCUAGAAUUGUUAUUCUUAAUAUAGACUGAUAUGCUUGCAGUAAUCAAUAAAUUUGAGCUAGUCGUAUAGACUUGUAAUAAAAAUUAUAUACCUACCGAAGAAAGAAAUCACCUACAGAAACAGAACAAUUCAAAGAUCUGUUAAUACUGGUUGCUCCAGUAAUUACUAGACAAGAUGUGAUACAAACACCAAUCUCACCUAAAGAACGUCUAUUGUUGACAUUAAGGUACUUAGCAUCAGGAGAUAGUCAAGUGUCUAUGUCAUAUAAAUUUGGUGUUGGGACAAGUACAGUUUCUCAAAUAAUUUCGGAAACUUGUCAAGCAUUGUGGACACAAGUAGCCCCUUUAGUUCUACCAGUACCAAAAUCAAAAGAUUGGGGAGAAAGUGAAAAUAAUUUCAAUUGGGAAAUUCGUAAAUAGAAUUUCCCAAACUGCGUGGAUGCUAUUGAUGGUAAAAGAAUCUUCGCGUAAAUAUAAAAAUUUAAGAAGCUCUAAAAUAUAGUGUCGUCUCAUUAAAGGAAA
rnacentral:lncRNA from 13 species